AGGAUUGAAGAGAGAGAGAGUGUUCUUAUCGUUUUUUUUUAAAGAGAAGAAAUUUUUGAGUUCUUGCACUUGGGAAAAAUCUGGGCAGUAAAGAGCAUUGUAGAAUCAUUCUAGGGGAGGAAAUAAACAUUUUGAGUGUGAGAAAUACAUUUAUAAAGCCUCGGAUUGUGAUUCACCAUUUUUAUCCAAGAAAAUGCAUAUUCUUGGAUAAUUUUGGAUUUAAGUGUGUUCAAGAGUGUAUGGUGUGUGUGGUUGGUGAUAAACAAGCUUAGGGGACUCCAAUAAUCGGUUUUGACGUGAAGAAAUGGGCUGAAAUGGUCUAGAGCAAGAAAAACUAAUUUUGAGCUCCAUUUUUGGCGGUACACCGGACUUGGAGAAGAAGACUUCGGAACAAGGGGUUACGGACAUCUUUUUGGGCUGGGGUCUAUUGAUUUGAAGUUCUGGACAUAAGGGGAUCAUUUUCCAAGCAAGAGAAGGAUUGGAAAGCAGCAAAAGUCAGCCAUAGAGUCGCCGUCGCCGGAGAAGAAGACAAAACCGGCGAUAUUUCCGGCGAACCCGAUCUGGGUGUUUACUGAGGAGCUAGUGGUCAUCGAGGUGACGCAGCGAGUGGUUCGAGACACGUCAGCGGAAAACGCACUGUGUAAGGUAAAGGCAAAGCAAAGCAGUGAGUGGUGCGGGCUCGAGGCAUGGACGAAACAUGUUAGAGGCUGGGCUCCAGUUAUUUUAUGUUUUUAGAAAUAAAUGUUAUGUUUUUAAAUUUUCAGACUUGAAUGGUUAUUUUCCUUAUGUUUUGUUAUUAAACCUAGCGUCCAACAUUUUUAUUUUUAAAUAAUGAGAUCUCAUUGCUGCUUAAAUUUUAAAUACAUAUGUUCUCUUAGUGUCUUAAAGUAUUUAUUGUUUAUUAUUU